CAUCCCCAUCUAACACCAGGACCUCCCAGUGACCGUGCAGAGUUCUGGCUCAAGGGGAUAUAUUAUUGUGCACUUUUCCCUCCCUGAUGGACUCUGUUCCUUUCAGGGCCCAAAAUAGUUGCACACAUC